GCCUAGCCCUAAACCUUGGUAAUAUAUCACAUAUCCUACCCGCCUGGGAACUACGAGCACCAGCUUAAAACCCAAAGGACUUGGCGGUGCUUUAGACCCCCCUAGAGGAGCCUGUUCUAGAACCGAUAACCCCCGUUCAACCUCACCCUUCCUUGUUUAUCCCGCCUAUAUACCGCCGUCGUCAGCUUACCCUGUGAAGGGCUAAAAGUAAGCAAAACUGGCACAACCCAAAACGUCAGGUCGAGGUGUAGCGCAUGGAGGGGGAAGAAAUGGGCUACAUUCCCUAUAUUAGGGAACACGAACGGCGCACUGAAACACGCGCCUGAAGGAGGAUUUAGUAGUAAGCGGAAAAUAGCGUGUUCCGCUGAAAUCGGCCCUGAAGCGCGC
rnacentral:rRNA from 1 species